GCCCGCCCGGAGCGGCCUCGCCCCGUCCGUCUGUCCGUCUGUCCCAAGCGCUCCCGCCCCGCCGGCCGCAAUGAGGGCGCUGCUCCCGCGCUGGGCGGCCCUGGCUGUGCGAGCGGCGGGCGGGCGGUGCGCGCUGCCCGUUCCCCACCGCGGUCGCAGCGGCCCCGGUCCGCCCCCGCCGCGGGAGUGGGCGCUGUCGGUGAGUCCGCGGGGGCGGCUGCGGGUGCGGCUGCCGUGCCAGGUGAGCAUCCGCCCGCUGGACCCGCAGCGCUGCCCGGGCGCGGACCGGCUGCUGGUGUCGGUGAGCGGCGGCAGCCCCGGGCGGGAGCAGGACCGGGAGCGGGGCCCGGUGCGGGUGGAGCACGACGAGGCGCUGGGGCAGGUGGCGAUCGUGGCGGACGGCGUGGACAGCAAGACCGCCGUGGACGUGCGGACGCCGGCGAAGUUCGAUUUGGAUAUCAAAACGUCAGGGACUGGCUGCGUGAAGAUUCAGAAAAUAGAAUGUGAUAACUGCAAAAUAGAAACAGAGAAGGGGACUAGUGUCUUGCAGUCAAUAAAGAGCCAUAAAAUUGAUAUACGGACAAAUGGUGGCAAAGUAAUUGGUCUUGGAACACUUUAUGGAAAUACAGAUAUUUGUGCAACAGAAAAGGGGAGUGUAAAUGUAGAGAAGCUGCAGGGGACAACCAUCAAUAUAUCUACUGAAGAUGGGCUGCUGAAAACUAAGUAUCUCUAUGCAGAAUCAGCAUCUCUCUCUUCAGAAUCUGGUGAUAUCAUGCUGGGAAGUGUUCAUGGUAAUACCAACCUACAGACAAAAGCAGGGAGUAUCACAGUAGAUUCAUCAGAUGGAAGUCUAAAAGCUUCUACGUAUCAUGGGACAAUAGAUGUUUAUGUCAGUCAAUUAAGAAAAGUGGAUCUGAAAUCCCAGAAAGGUUCAAUUACGGUCAAGGUACCUGCAUCUCUCAAAGCCUAUUUCGAGCUUUCUGGAAGAAAAGUGGAUGUGAGCUCGGAGAUCCGGUUAAAAGAAGCACACAGUGCCUCCAAAGAUGAUCAUGUAACUCUAAGUGGUCACAUGAAUCAAAGGGAUGAAACAGACAAAUGGAUUAAGGCUGACACACAAAAUGGCAAAGUGUAUCUUAAAAGCCAAAGCUGGAUCCAGUCUGUCAAGCUGAAGAGUUCUUAAAGGAUUCUGCAGGAGGUAUAACUGCCCUCAGCUAAUGGAAUUCAAGAGUCAAGGACAGCAUAUCUACUGUAAUUCAGGCUGCCAGCCAACCCACAGUUCAGACCUGCAGACAUGAACAUCAGCUUGUUUAGAGAGCUGGACUCAGCCCAAGAGGCUUUUUUGAAAUUGAGGGCUCUGGGUGCAAAAGUGAUCAUUGAGAAGUGGAGAAUUGUGCAUAAUGUAUGGGUGUAGUUGUGUAUUAAAGAAUCUGUAGUCACUACCUACUCACUGCUCUCAGUUCCUCAAGAAAGCUGUACUUGAUGAGUACCAGCCACAUCAAGUGUGAAGUUCUCUGGGGAGUGAGAGUGUUUAUGUCCUGGAGAGGACCUUCAUGGCAAACAAGAACCUCAAACACAUGCAAAUUUAUUCAUUGCUUACUCUGCACGGGACUACAAAACUUUCAUUAUUGAAAGAUGAAUACAGCUUGAAUCAACAUCUGAGACACAGCAGUGCUGUCUGAGUGCAGCUGUCUUGCUUGAAGGCAUUCAUACUCCUGUGAGAAAGAUUUGCUAUGCUUCCUUACUAAUGCAACAAAUGGCCUUUUAUUAAAGAGUGAUUAGUUUUAAUAAAAAAUAACACAGUGGUCUUUUCAUGCUCUAGAGAAACACCCUUGAACUGUAGAGAUGUUGCAAAAUUUCUUCAUUUUUCAUUUUAAAGAAUUUGUUUUUUCAGGCUCUGAUCUGUAUUUUUUGGUGAAAGUGGUUAUGUUACCAUCCCAGUCAUAGCCAAGCCAGGAAGGAGGUCAGCAUCAUUAUGUUGCUGUUUCUCCAGUUCAGCUGUGGAUUUCAAGACAGCUUGUCUACAACAAGAGUUUGAAAAUAAUAAUGACAAAAUUUUUAGAGGCUGUUUUUACAAAGAACACUAAAAGCAGUUUAAUGAGGAAAAGUUCCUUGUUUUAACUAAAGCUAUCAAUAUUAUAAGGGUGUUGUGGAAAGUAAACCUGAGGAUAAUUGGUUAGGUCAUAGAGUCAGAGGAUGAAUUAGGCUGGAAGAGGCCUCUGGAAAGCAUUUCAACCUGAUGUUGCUUUAAAUGUAUCCAACUAAAUCAGGUGAGUCAUAGCUUUGCCAGAUGAGUUCUGCAUAUCUUUCGGGAUGAAGGUUGCACAGUCUCUGGGAUCAUCUUCAAGAGUUUGACCAGCUUCC